ACUCGCGAUGUCCGUACGCGCGUGCGUUAUUAAUUCGCCUGGAGAUUUGCAGAGCGCGAUUGCCGAAAUUAAACGCGUCCGCCCCCCUCCACCCCAUCCGCCCCCCGCCAGUACCCCGCGCCCGCGACUUGAUAGAUUAUUCGCUUCGAAGGGACACGGACGUACGCAGGUAUGCGGCCGGCGCGGCGCGGCGCACGCAACACGCGUACGGUUUCCUUAGGUUCGGGUCGGCGGUGCGCCCGCGUAGAACGGCAGCGU